rnacentral:lncRNA from 1 species
AGGAAGCAGACCUGCUUAGUCGAUUGACCAAAGAGGAGUUAGAACAGCUUCCCGACGAAGUAUAUAUACAGCAUGUCCGUACACCUGCUUUUAAAAAGACAAACACGGUACUGCAGGUAGAACAGAGCCCAACUUGGAUGACCCCAUACCUGAGAUACUUGGAGGAGGGUGAGCUCCCCGAAGAUAAAGAUGAAGCCAGAAAGAUAGCAGCUCGUGCUGCCAACUAC